UAUCAGCUGACAGUGAGGAGGGAGGGGGUUUGGAAAGAAGGGCAAUUGGUGUUACUUUCUGAAUCAGAAGAACUGCAGGAUGUGGGCUCCUGGCCAGAAAGAGCCUUGCUUCUAUCUUCAGGGCAGGAAGAUGACCACCCACAGCCCAGCAAACCCAGGAGGGAGAGAAUUUCUCUCUCCCAGGGUCUCUAGAAGAAUCCCAGGAAAGGGGUCUGACCAUACUUCAGUUUCCACAGUUAGAACCAAUCACCAUUGCCCAGAAUUUGGGUUCCACAAUUAGCCAGGCCCAAGUCAUGCACACCUCCCUUUGGCCAUGUACUGGGACUAAUAUCCAUACUCAGGAGAAAGAACCAGAGAGCCCCCAGGUACUCUCAGUUUGUCUCCAGGCUCAAAUAUUUUGUACCCUAUCAUUU
rnacentral:lncRNA from 1 species